UUUGAACUUACUGUUCUCUUUCAGCCUCUCCACAACCCCAACCCCACUCCUCCUUCUCUUCCUUUGAGUCUCAGCUUAAAUGUCAUUUUCCCAGGGAGACCUUUGUCAACCACCUGAUAUAAGUCAGUUGACUGCCCUCCCUAUUACUUUCUAGGCUAGUUUCAUACUGCACUUUCUUCCUAGUGCUUAUCACACUGCGUGAAUUUUCUUUGUUUAUUUACUUUUGUCAGUAUUCCUUGCUAGAAACAGGUACUCAAGACACCCCUCCAUCUGGCAGGCUGGAAAUUGAGCAGGGAGAAUGCAGGAGACUGUUUCGGGUGGCCGAGAUGAUGGUCUGGCUGCUCUUUCUACCCUGGCAUGGGCAAAGCCCAAGUCCUACAGGUUUGCUGUGGACCUGCUUUCAACUCAUCAAAUACAAAGGAGUCCUAUUGCUGGAUCAUAGUGUAUAGUGUCUUUAUUACUGCAGUGCAAGCACUUUCCAAGUGUCAUGUUUGUUAUUUACCCACUGUCCAAAGCAAGUCACGUGGCCAAGCUCAAGAGUCAGAGUGGAGAGAACUACCCAACGCAGGGAUAUAGGGAGGGGGAUGAUGGUACCCAUUUUGAAGAGAUCUACCCAAGGCAGGGAUAUAGGGAGGGGAAUGAUGGUACCCAUUUUGAAAACAAUCUAUUGCAGUAAUCAUAGACCAUAGUAAUUGCUCAGAAUCAGGAUGAUUUAGGCUAGGAAAUAAAUAAAAAUGGCCAGCCCAUGGCUUCUGCGUCCCUCUAAGAUAAAGUUCAAAGUCCUUAGCUGUGAUACAUGACUACCUGCUAUAUGUUAUCUCACUAUAAUGCCUUCUCCCCACCUCAAAACUAUAGAGAAUGGGCACACAGAGCUUUUUUAAUGGGGAAUGCACCUUGCUAUUUCACACCCUGUAUCAUUGCUCCACACCCUGUAUCAUUGCUCCUGCUGGUUCAACUGGCAUAUAAUCCCCCACCCUGAGUCCCACAGACUAACCCACCAUUGAUCUUUGAACAUCUUUAGAGACACAACAGGAUUUACCUCCUCAAAGAAGCCUACCCUCUGCUUUGGAUAGAAUUGAACAUUCAUUUCUUUGGAAGUCAUAGAGCCACAUGCAGUUUUUUUGUUUUUGUUUUUUGAGACAGGGUCUUGCUCUGUCACCCAGGCUGGAGUGCAGUGGCGUGAUCACAGCUCACUGCAGUCUCGACCUCCUAGGCUCAAGGGAUCCUCCCUCCACAGCCUCCCGAGUAGCUGGGACCACAGGCACGCACCACCAUGCCUGGCUAAAUUUUUAUUUUUAACAUCUUUCUAUGUUGCCCAGGCUGGUCUCGAACUCCUGGGCUCAAGCAAUCCUCCCGCCUCGACCUCCCAAGGUUCUAGGAUUACAGGUGUGAGCCACGGUGCUGGCCCAGAUUUUUAAUUUUACACCUAAAUAACUUUAGUGCUCAUUUGUUAAUGUGCCCGUCUCCCUUUUGGUAGACUCUAAGAUCCUCAAAGGUAGGGACUAUAUCUUUCUUAUAUUCAUAUUUUCCUUCCUUCCUUCCUUCUUUCGUAGAUGGAAUCUUGCUCUGUCAUCCAGGCUAGAGUGCAGUAGCGUGAUCUCGGGUCACUGCAACCUCCGCCUCCCGGGUUCAAGCAAUUCUCCUGCCUCGGCCUCCUGAGUAGCUGGGAUUAUAGGCGCCCACCACCAUUCCUGGUUAAUUUUUGUAGAGACGGGGUUUCACCAUGUUGGUCAGGCUGGUCUCGAACUCCGGACCUCAGGUGAUCCGCCCACCUCGACCUCCCAAAGUGCUGGGAUUACAGGCGUGAGCCACUACGCCCGGCCAGUAUUUUCAUGCAUGGAUAGUUGUUCAAAUUGAUGCUUUGGCAGAGGUGGUGGUGGGGCAGUCAUUGGAGAGUCCUAUUCCACCAUCCUGCUCCGACUUCCCCCAUUUUAUUUGCUUUGUGAAACAACAAGCUGGAAAUACUGAAAACUUCAUAGCAAACUUUGUGAGAAAGAAACCUACUACUACUUAACACUGAAAACAGAAAUAUAUAGCUUUGGGCCAGGCACAGUGGCUCACGCCUGUAAUCCUAGCAGUUUGGGAGGCUGAGGUGGAUGGAUCACCUGAGGUCAGGAGUUCAAAACCAGCCUUGGCCAAUAUGGUGAAACCCUGUCUCUACUAAAAAUACAACAAUUAGCUGGGCCGUAGUGGUAAGUGCCUGUAAUCCCAGCUACUCGGGAGGCUGAGUCAGGAGAAUCGCUUGAGCCUGGGAGGCGGAGGUUGCAGUGAGCCGAGAUCGCACCACUGCACUCUAGCCUGGGCAACAGAGUGAGACUCUGUCUCAGAAAAAAAAAAAAAAAAAUUUUGCAGCCCUAACAGAAACAAAACUCAGCUUGACAUAUUAAAUGUAGAAAUCAUUACCUAGGUAGAAAAUUUUAAACUUUGUCAAGUUUCUUUAGAAUGGACACCCAUUAAGAGUUAUAACAACAUUUAAAUUCAGAAAAUCAAUCAUCUCAAAAAAUUUUAACAGCUCAAAUAUUUUUCAUAAUUAUGUUUGUGAAAGAAAUGAAAACGAAAAGCCCAGGAAGCAGGGUGAUACUAUUGCUAGUUAUAAUUUCUAUUUUUAACACCCUAAAUUUCUUAGUUCUCAUUUCUUCUUGCAUUUCAGCUUGUGGUUGGCUUUGCAAAGCUAACAUUUUCUUUGGUGACAGUUUUUAAAACGUAAGCCAGAAGACUUUGGUCAGGAGCUUCCCCAUUCCAUAGAACAUCUGAGAACUUAAAAAAAAUGGUAUUUAAAUUGCACUAAGAAGAUAAAGUAGUGUGAUAUUUUGAUAGGUGCUUAUUUUUGUUUUGUUUGCUUUUAACUUCUGGACCUAUCCCAAUGUUUUCCAGGAUCCUCAGAACAUAUGGGUGGUCUUUUCUUUUAAAAAUAUAUAUAAACCCGGCCGAGUGUGGUGGCCCAUGCCUGUAAUCAGGCUGAGGUGGGAGGAUCACUUGAGCCCAGGAAUUUGAGACCAUUCUGGGCAGCAUAGUGGGACCCUGUCUCUACAAAAAAUAAAAAAUUAGCCCAACAUGGUGGCACAUGCCUGUGGUCCCAGCUACUUGGGAGGCUGAGGCAGGAGGAUCACUUGAGCCUGGGAGUUUGAGGCUGCACUGAGCUAUGAUCAUGCUACUGCACUCCAGCCUGAGUGACGGAGCAAGAUACUGUCUCCAAGAAAAAAAAAGUAGGGGGAGGGCGGUUUUUUUUUUAUUACAGUCUCUUUCAGCAAGAAAAUAAAAGCUUUCCCAGAAGCAUCCUAGGAGAAUUCUUCCCUUCAUUUUGUUGGCCAGUGUUGGGUAAUGUGGCCAUUAUUAGAUGCAGGGGGUCUGGGAAAGUGGAUAAGAGGAGCAUAAUAGCUAAUGUCAGAUUGUUCCCUAAAUAAAAUGGGAGUUGUAUCAAUAAACAGAAGGUUUGUGGAGGAGGUGGGGAUGAGAUGGCAGUUAGGCAGGCAAAGUACAUCACCUGCCAUGAUGCAAUAUUUGUGUAGCUAAAAACUUGUAAUGCGGUUAGAUAGAAUGAAUAUGUUCUAGUGUUCCAUAGCACAGCAGGGUGACUGUAGUUAAUGAUAUAGUGUGGAUACUUGUUCCCACACAAAUCUCAUGUGGAAUUGUAAUCCCCAAUGCUGGAAGUGGGGCCAGUGGGAGGUGAUUGGAUCAUGGGGGCAGAUCCCUCAUGAAUGGCUUAGGCCAUCCCCUUCAUGAUACGUGAGCUCUUGCUCUGAGUUCACAUGAGAUGCUUUGUUUAAAAGCAUGUGGCUGGCCGGGUGUGGUGGCUCACGCCUGUAAUCCCAGCACUUUGGGAGGCUGAGGUGGGUGGAUUGCCUGAGCUCAGGAGUUCGAGACUAGCCUGGGUAACAUGGUGAAACCCCAUCUCUACUAAAAUACAAAAAAUUAGCCGGGUAUAGUGGCAUGUGCCUGUAGUCUCAGCCGCUUGGGAGGCUGAGGCAGGAGAAUUGUUUGAACCCGGGAGACGGAGGUUGCAGUGAGCCCAAAUCGCACCACUGCACUCCAGCCUCGGUGACAGGGGGAGACUCCUUUUCCAAAGAAAGAAAAAAGCAUGUGGCAACUCUCUCCCAACUCUCUCUUGCUUGCUCCUGCUUUUGCCAUGUGACAUGCUUGUUCCCCCUUCACCGUCUGCCAUGAUUGAAAGCUCCCUGAGGUUUCACUGGAAGCCAAGCAGAUGUCAGCACCAUGCUUCCUGCAGAACCAUGAGCCAAUUAAACCUCUUUUCCUAGUCUCAGGUAUUUCUUUAUAGCAAUGCAAGGACAGCCUAAUACAGUUAACAGUAAUUUAUUUUAUACUUCAAAAUAGCUAGAAGAGAUUUGAAGUGUUCCCAAUACAAAGAAAUGACAAAUAUUUGAGGUGAUAGAUACCCUGAUUUGAUCAUUACACGUUGUAUGUAUGUAUCAAAUACCUAAAUACCCUGAUUUGAUCAUUACAUGUUGUAUGCAUGUAUCAAAUACCUAAAUACCCUGAUAUGAUCAUUACACAUUGUAUGCAUGUAUCAGAAUAUCACAUGGACCCAUCCCAUAAAUAAGUGCAAUUAUUGUGUAUCAAUAAAAAUGUUUUGGUUGGGU
rnacentral:lncRNA from 1 species